UGGAUCUUCGCAAUACCAUAGCUACAGACCUAGUCACCAUUAAAUCGUGUCCUACCUUACAACAGUAUGAUGCAACCUUUAGUACUUAAUAACAACAGUCUAGAGGUAGUUGAAUCGGUGAAGUUCUUAGGGCUUAUUGUGGAUAAGUCUCUAAAAUGGAACUUGCACAUUGAUGCCUUACACAAAAAA
rnacentral:lncRNA from 1 species